rnacentral:rRNA from 1 species
CCUACGGGAGGCAGCAGUGAGGAAUAUUGGUCAAUGGGCGCGAGCCUGAACCAGCCAAGUCGCGUGAGGGAUGACGGUCCUACGGAUUGUAAACCUCUUUUGCCGGGGAGCAAGCGUGCGUCCGUGAACGCCCUUCCAUAGUCCCCGGAGAUAAAGCAUCGGCUAAUUCCUUGCCAGCAGCCGCGGUAAUCCGGAGGAUGCGAGCGUUAUCCGGAUUUAUUGGGUUUAAAGGGUCCUUAGGCGGGAUGCCAAGUCAGCGGUAAAAUUGAGAGGCUCAACCUCUUCGAGCCGUUGAAACUGGUGUGCUUGAGUGAGCGGGAAGUAGGCGGAAUGCGUGGUGUAGCGGUGAAAUGCAUAGAUAGCACGCAGAACUCCGAUUGCGAAGGCAGCAUGCCGGAGCGGAACUGACGCUCAUGCACGAAAGUGUGGGUAUCGAACAGGAUUAGAUACCCCUGUAGUC